GCGCUGUUAGCUAAGCUGGAUAUAGCGUUCGGCUACGGACCGAAAGGACGGGGGUUCGAAUCCCUCACAGCGCGCCA
rnacentral:tRNA from 1 species